rnacentral:rRNA from 1 species
GAUGAACGCUGGCGGCGUGCCUAAUACAUGCAAGUCGAGCGAACAGAUCAUGAUCUUGCUCCUUUCACGUUAGCCGCAGACGGGUGAAUAACACGUGUAUAACCUACCUAUAUUACUGGUAUCACUUCGAAAAACCGGCUCUAAUACCGUAGAAGCUCUUGAACCGCAUUGUUCAAUGGUGAGAUACGGCGUUUCGGUAACGUAUAGCUGCAUCCGAGCCGCAUUAGCUGGUUGUUAAGGUAACGGCUUACCAAGGCAACGAUGCGUAGCCGACGUGAGAGGGUGAUCGGCCACACUGGAAGUGAGACACGGUCCAGACUCCUACGGGAGGCAGCAGUAGGGAAUCUUACGCAAUGGGCGAAAGCCUGACGGAGCAACGCCGCGUGAGUGAUGAAGGUCUUCGGAUCGUAAAACUCUGUUAUUAGGGAAGAACAAAUGUGUAAGUAACUAUGCACGUCUUGACGGUACCUAAUCAGAAAGCCACGGCUAACUACGUG